rnacentral:lncRNA from 1 species
GCGAGCCAGGCCGGCGCUUCUCCUCCUGAUGCUUUUGCAGACCGCGGUCCUGCAGGGGCGCUUGCUGCGAGGAGCCAUGGGGCACUACGUCUUAGCUGAACGUGAGUGACACGCAGCCUGCAGACUCACUGUGGGAAGGAGACAAAACUAGAGACUCAAAGAGGGAGUGCAUUUAUGAGCUCUUCAUGUUUCAGGAGAGAGUUGAACCUAAACAUAGAAAUUGCCUGACGAACUCCUUGAUUUUAGCCUUCUCUGUUCAUUUCCUCAAAAAGAUUUCCCCAUUUAGGUUUCUGAGUUCCUGCAUGCCGGUGAUCCCUAGCUGUGACCUCUCCCCUGGAACUGUCUCUCAUGAACCUCAAGCUGCAUCUAGAGGCUUCCUUCAUUUCCUCCGUCACCUCAGAGACAUACACCUAUGUCAUUUCAUUUCCUAUUUUUGGAAGAGGACUCCUUAAAUUUGGGGGACUUACAUGAUUCAUUUUAACAUCUGAGAAAAGCUUUGAACCCUGGGACGUGGCUAGUCAUAACCUUACCAGAUUUUUACACAUGUAUCUAUGCAUUUUCUGGACCCGUUCAACUUUUCCUUUGAAUCCUCUCUCUGUGUUACCCAGUAACUCAUCUGUCACCAAGCCUUGGGGAUUCUUCCAUCUGAUUGUGAUGUGAGUUGCACAGCUAUGAAGGCUGUACACUGCACGAAUGGAAGAGGCACCUGUCCCAGAAAAAGCAUCAUGGCUAUCUGUGGGUAGUAUGAUGGGUGUUUUUAGCAGGUAGGAGGCAAAUAUCUUGAAAGGGGUUGUGAAGAGGUGUUUUUUCUAAUUGGCAUGAAGGUGUCAUACAGAUUUGCAAAGUUUAAUGGUGCCUUCAUUUGGGAUGCUACUCUAGUAUUCCAGACCUGAAGAAUCACAAUAAUUUUCUACCUGGUCUCUCCUUGUUCUGAUAAUGAAAAUUAUGAUAAGGAUGAUAAAAGCACUUACUUCGUGUCCGACUCUUCUGAGCACCUACUUACAUGCAUUACUGCAUGCACUUCUUACAAUAAUUCUAUGAGAUAGGUACUAUUAUCCCCAUUUCUUUUUUAAAUGAAGAAAGUGAAGUAGGCCGGGCACGGUGGCUCACGCCUGUAAUCCCAGCACUUUGGGAGGCCAAAGCGGGUGGAUCACGAGGUCAGGAGAUCGAGACCAUCCUGGCUAACAUGGUGAAACCCCAUCUCU